AUAUUGGUCAAUGCCGAGAGGCUGAGCGAGCCCAGUCGCGUGCAGGAAGACGGCAUAAUGGGUUGUAAACUGCUUUUAGGCGGGAAUAAUAAGCAUCAUGCGUGGUGCGUUGCAGUACCGUCAGAAUAAGCAUCGGCUAACUCCGUGCCAGCAGCCGCGGUAAUACGGAGGAUGCGAGCGUUAUCCGGAUUAUUGGGUUUAAAGGGUGCGUAGGUGGGCGAUUAAGUCCGCAGUGAAAGUUUGUUGCUUAACGACAGAAUUGCCGUUGAAACUGGUUGUCUUGAGUAUGCUUGGGGCAGGCGGAAUGCGGGGUGUAGCGGUGAAAUGCAUAGAUAUUCCGCAGAACUCCGAUCGCGAAGGCAGCUUGCCAAAUCAAUACUGACACUGAAGCACGAAAGCGUGGGUAUCAAACAGGAUUAGAUACCCUGGUAGUCCACGCUGUAAACGAUGAUUACUGGCUGUUUGCCUGUAGAGGUAAGCGGCAAAGCGAAAGCGUUAAGUAAUCCACCUGGGGAGUACGCCGGCAACGGUGAAACUCAAAGGAAUUGACGGGGGCCCGCACAAGCGGAGGAACAUGUGGUUUAAUUCGAUGAUACGCGAGGAACCUUACCCGGGACUGAACGCAGGGGGAAUUACUGUGAAAGCGGUAAGCCAGCAAUGGUCGCCUGCGAGGUGCUGCAUGGUUGUCGUCAGCUCGUGCCGUGAGGUGUCGGCUUAAGUGCCAUAACGAGCGCAACCCCUGCCGCCAGUUACCAUCGAGUAAAGUUGGGGACUCUGGCGGGACUGCCGGCGCAAGCCGCGAGGAAGGCGGGGAUGACGUCAAAUCAGCACGGCCCUUACAUCCGGGGCGACACACGUGUUACAAUGGCGCGGACAAAGGGCAGCGACCUGGUGACAGGAAGCGAAUCUCCAAACCGCGUCCCAGUUCGGAUCGGAGUCUGCAACUCGACUCCGUGAAGCCGGAUUCGCUAGUAAUCGCGCAUCAGCCAUGGCGCGGUGAAUACGUUCCCGGGCCUUGUACACACCGCCCGUCAAGCCAUGGGAGCCGGGGGUGCCUGAAGUUCGUGACCGCGAGGAUCGACCUAGGUAGACCAANN
rnacentral:rRNA from 1 species